rnacentral:rRNA from 1 species
GAUGAACGCUGGCGGCGUGCCUAAUACAUGCAAGUCGAGCGAACAGACGAGGAGCUUGCUCCUCUGACGUUAGCGGCUGACGGGUGAGUAACACGUGGAUAACCUACCUAUAAGACUGGGAUAACUUCGGGAAACCGGAGCUAAUACCGGAUAAUAUAUUGAACCGCAUGGUUCAAUAGUGAAAGACGGUUUUGCUGUCACUUAUAGAUGGAUCCGCGCCGCAUUAGCUAGUUGGUAAGGUAACGGCUUACCAAGGCAACGAUGCGUAGCCGACCUGAGAGGGUGAUCGGCCACACUGGAACUGAGACACGGUCCAGACUCCUACGGGAGGCAGCAGUAGGGAAUAUUCCGCAAUGGGCGAAAGCCUGACGGAGCAACGCCGCGUGAGUGAUGAAGGUCUUCGGAUCGUAAAACUCUGUUAUUAGGGAAGAACAAAUGUGUAAGUAACUAUGCACGUCUUGACGGUACCUAAUCAGAAAGCCACGGCUAACUACGUG